rnacentral:lncRNA from 1 species
AUCACCAAUAUAUUUGUUUGGUUGAAUUGUUUACUUAGUUGCAUACAAGUUUGGUUAAUCUGUGUUUAUUAGGAUAGCUAAUUUUGUUGAGGUUUCUCACAUGGAAAGUCCAGGCUCUUUGCUUUUCUUAUUGCAUGUUUGAGUUAUCUUUGGGAGAGUGCGUUUAACAUAUGCAUUUCUGAUUGAUAGCAGAUGUAGUUUGUGCUUUGUGAAUGAUUUGCUAACAUAGGUUUGAAACUUUUUGUUGUAGGAAAUUUGGACGAGAGAGUAGGCGAUCGUGUACUAUAUGACAUUCUAAUUCAAGCAGGGCGUGUUGUUGACCUGUACAUUCCUCGUGACAAGGAAACUGAUAAGCCUAAAGGUUUUGCCUUCGCUAAAUAUGAGACGGAGGAGAUUGCAGACUAUGCUGUGAAGCUUUUCUCUGGUUUAGUGACGCUUUACAAUAGAACAUUAAAAUUUGCGGUAAGUCCUUGUUAUCCGUCCCUUGAGCUGGCUAAAAUGGUCAGUUUUAUUGAUAUUGUAUGGUGAAUUUAUGUUUUCUGGUAUUAUUAGCUUCUGUAGCGCUUGCAAACCUAAGGUAUGGGUUUAUCUCCUCUCCAACAGAACCAGCCUAUGCAUAGAUAAUAGAUAAUCUUGGUAGUGAGAUGUUCUUCGGUAGAGAUCGUCGGAGUGUCUAUCGAUGUUGGCUUAUGAAUUGAGAGAUACACCAGCAAAUAUGAGACAGAGGAGAUUGCAGACUAUGCUGUGAAGCUUUUCUCUGGUUUAGUGACGCUUUACAAUAGAACGUUAAAAUUUGCGGUAAGUCCUUGUUAUCCGUCCCUUGAGCUGGCUAAAAUGGUCAGUUUUAUUGAUAUUGUAUGGUGAAUUUAUGUUUUCUGGUAUUAUUAGCUUCUGUAGCGCUUGCAAACCUAAGGUAUGGGUUUAUCUCCUCUCCAACAGAACCAGCCUAUGCAUAGAUAAUAGAUAAUCUUGGUAGUGAGAUGUUCUUCGGUAGAGAUCGUCGGAGUGUCUAUCGAUGUUGGCUUAUGAAUUGAGAGAUACACCAGACAUAUGUUCUUUCAGUUAACACUGCGGGCUGGCAGUUGGAAUUUGAUGUUUUGAGGAGGCAAAGUCUACAGAAGCAUUUUGAUUUGCUUAUGUUGUGUAUUGACGUUUAAUUUUUCUAAACAGAUAUCUGGGCAAGACAAGCCCUCUAAUAACUCAUCAAUUGCGACACCACCACCUACCUUAAAUAUCCCCUCCAGACCAAGGCCUCUUCAUGUACCUUAUAAUGAUAAGGAAAUUUCACCAAAUUCUUUGAGAUUGUCAACUUCAUGCCGGUUUUCAGAGAACCAAAAUAACUUCACACAAGGUGAUGCAUGCUUUUUUAGCGCAGUCAUUAUUUUAUGCUCUUAGUCCCUUUUUUGUUUUAACGUUAUUUUCGUUGAGUCUUGACUUACAUGUUUAUAAUUGUUUUUUCUCUAUUCAGUUCCAGUUCCUCCUGGUGUUUCAAUAAACCAAUCUAAUGGGCAUAGAUCGCCUUACGAUGGAUAUAGAACACAUUAUGAUGGCAACAAUUAUGAUUACGGUCGAAGAGUAUUUGGGGAUGCUUUGGAUAGUAUAACACGCUCUAGGUUGGGCCGAUAUGACACCCGUAACCUGACCAGUUAUCCUUCUUAUUGAUAUUUAGC